rnacentral:rRNA from 1 species
UUUAUUUAUUUGACAGAGAGACGCCCGAUCUCGUCUGAUCUCGGAAGCUAAGCAGGGUCGGGCCUGGUUAGUACUUGGAUGGGAGACAGAGAGAGAGAGAUCACAAGUAGGC